rnacentral:rRNA from 1 species
AACGAACGCUGGCGGCAGGCUUAACACAUGCAAGUCGAGCGCCCCGCAAGGGGAGCGGCAGACGGGUGAGUAACACGUGGGAACCUUCCUCGUUGUACGGAACAACUCAGGGAAACUUGAGCUAAUACCGUAUGCGUCCGAGAGGAGAAAGAUUUAUCGCAAUGAGACGGGCCCGCGUCGGAUUAGCUAGUUGGUAAGGUAACGGCUUACCAAGGCGACGAUCCGUAGCUGAUCUGAGAGGAUGAUGGGCCACACUGGGACUGAGACACGGCCCAGACUCCUACGGGAGGCAGCAGUGGGGAAUUUUGGACAAUGGGCGCAAGCCUGAUCCAGCCAUGCCGCGUGAGUGAAGAAGGCCUUCGGGUUGUAAAGCUCUUUUGUCAGGGACGAUAAUGACGGUACCUGAAGAAUAAGCCCCGGCAAACUUCGUGCCAGCCGCUGCAGUAA